rnacentral:rRNA from 1 species
AUGUUCUAUAAGUACUGCAACCUCUCAACAUUGUUAUCCGUGGGCCGGACUGCUUCUGAGGGCCAAGGUUCCAAGGAUUCAUCCAAGCUCUGCUGUCCCACACAGAUUGAAAUGGCAACAGUCUCAAUGGACGUUGAAGUGGGAAGAGAUGACAAGAAGAAGGGGUUCUACCAAGAUCUGGUCCUAGCUUACAAGACUCUGGGUGUUGUCUUCGGUGGCCUCGUCACUUCACCUCUCUAUGUUUAUCCGUCGAUGAAUCUGACCAAUCCCACUGAGGAAGACUACCUCGGGAUAUACAGCAUCAUGUUCUGGACCCUGACCCUGAUCGGUGUCAUCAAGUACAUAUGCAUAGCUCUGAAUGCUGAUGAUCAUGGUGAAGGUGGCACAUUUGCCAUGUAUUCUCUGCUGUGCCAGCAUGCCAACAUUGGCAUCCUCCCGUCCAAAAAGAUUUACAUUGAAGAAGAGGAUCUGGUCUCGACUCACCCUGCUGUGACCAGAAGGCCAAGCAGGCUGAGGAGAUUCAUCGAGCGCAGCAUUGUCGCUAGGAGGCUGCUGCUCCUCACUGCUAUAUUGGGCAUGUGUAUGCUAAUUGGAGAUGGCAUUCUCACACCUGCUAUUUCAGUCUUGUCUGCAAUAGAUGGACUGAGAGGCCCUUUCCCAUCCGUCAGUAAACCUGUGGUGGAGGCACUGUCUGCGGCGAUCCUCAUUGGGCUUUUCCUGCUACAGAAGUACGGCACGUCCAAAGUGAGUUUCAUAUUCUCACCGAUCAUGGCAGUGUGGACGUUCACCACACCGAUCAUCGGCAUCUACAGCAUCUGGCGCUAUUACCCUGGCAUCUUCAAGGCCUUGUCGCCACACUACAUCGUUAUGUUCUUCAUCACCAACCAGAAAAGGGGCUGGCAGCUGCUCGGUGGGACCGUUCUCUGCAUCACGGGUGCCGAGGCCAUGUUUGCGGAUCUUGGACACUUUAGCAAGAGGUCUAUCCAGAUCGCGUUCCUCACCAGCAUAUACCCCUCCCUCGUGCUCACUUACGCUGGGCAGACGGCGUACCUGAUCAACAACGUCAAUGACUUCAGCGACGGGUUCUACAAGUUUGUGCCGCGUCCCGUGUACUGGCCCAUGUUUGUCAUUGCGACGCUGGCAGCGAUCGUGGCAAGUCAAUCGCUGAUCUCAGCCACCUUCUCUGUCAUCAAGCAGUCGGUAGCCCUCGACUACUUCCCCCGUGUCAAGGUGGUGCACACCUCCAGGAACAAGGAAGGGGAGGUAUACUCGCCGGAAACCAACUAUAUACUCAUGCUGUUCUGUGUUGGUGCCAUCCUCGGCUUCGGCGAUGGCAAGAACAUUGGAAACGCGUUCGGGGUGGUAGUCAUCAUGGUCAUGCUGAUCACCACCAUCCUGCUCUCCCUGGUGAUGCUCAUCAUCUGGGACACACAUGUGGUGCUUGUGGCUCUCUACUUCGUGCCGUUCCUGAUCCUCGAGGGCACCUACGUGAGCGCAGUGUGCACCAAGAUCCUCAAAGGUGGGUGGAUGCCGUUUGCAGUGUCAUUGUUGUUGGCACUGAUCAUGUUCGGCUGGUACUACGGUAGACAGAGGAAAGCCGAGUACGAGAUGGCGAACAAGGUGACACUCGAGCGGCUUGGUGAGCUCCUCGCUGGUCCUGACGUGCACCGCAUCCCCGGGCUCUGCUUCUUCUAUAGCAACAUGCAGGACUGGCUCACGCCGGUGCUCGCGCACUACAUCAGGAACUUGCGGUCGUUGCACAAGGUGACCAUCUUCCUCACACUCCGGUACCUCCUGGUGGCCAAGGUCGAUGCCAAGGACCGUGUGGCCAUCCGGCGGCUUGGACCCAAUGGAGUUUAUGGGUGCACGAUACAGUAUGGCUACGCUGACCCGCUCGACUCUGAGGAGGAUGAACUCACCGGCCUGGUGGUGGGCGCCCUGCGGGACUACAUCACCGAGGAGGAGGAGGAGGUGGCUCUGCUUGAGGAGGCGAGGGAGGCUGGGGUGGUGCACGUCAGGGGCAAGAUGAGGUUCCACAUCGGCAAAGACACGGGCUUCUUCGACCGUAUUCUGCUUGGCUUCUACGAGUUCCUGCACAGCACGUGCCGGUCCGCGCUGCCAGCUCUCGGGAUCCCCCUGCAGCAGCGCGUCGAGAUCGGCAUGCUCUACAAGGCCUGA